rnacentral:rRNA from 1 species
GGAGUUAGCCGGUUCUUCUUCUGUGAGUGAUGUCCUUCCUGCCGGCUAUUAACCCGCAGGCCUUCUUCCUCACUGAAAGUGCUUUACAACCCGAAGGCCUUCUUCACACACGCGGCAUGGCUGGAUCAGGGUUGCCCCCAUUGUCCAAUAUUCCCCACUGCUGCCUCCCGUAGGAGUCUGGGCCGUGUCUCAGUCCCAGUGUGGCUGAUCAUCCUCUCAGACCAGCUACGGAUCGUCGCCUUGGUGAGCCGUUACCUCACCAACCAGCUAAUCCGACAUAGGCUCAUCCGAUAGCGCGAGGCCCGAAGGUCCCCCGCUUUCCCCCGUAGGGCGUAUGCGGUAUUAGCCUGGGUUUCCCCCAGGUUAUCCCCCACUACCGGGCAGAUUCCCUAUGCAUUACUCACCCGUCCGCCGCUCGCCACCAGGGAGCAAGCUCCCCGUGCUGCCGCUCGACUUGCAUGUGUUAGGCCUGCCGCCAGCGUUCAAUCUGAGCCAGGAUCAAACUCUGA